AUGGUACAUGUGAAUGUUUUUGUGGCACCGUAUAUUAUUUAUUUAUUUGAACCAUCACUUGUUAUUUAUAUAUUUCAACCAUCACUUAUGGAUACAAAAUUACAAACUAGUCUAUUUAUAUUUCACACAACUUGAUAUACAUGUCUUUUGACUUUUGACUUCUUUAAGAUUCAUGGCUUAUGACUACCUUUCCUGUGGCUCACAGCAAACCUGUUGACUAAAGCAAGUGCAUUACUAGUGACUUGUGAAGCAUAAACCAUCCUCUUAGUCACAACAUCCUUCACAUGUCCAUUUACACCAAACCCCCCACUACAUAUAUUCUGAUAAGUAAGAGCAGAACUGACCCACGUCUCCACGUUGCUCAUGUGCCACUCGAAAUCUUGAUCCACGGACCGACGUCCCAUCCGCUCCAGCUCCUGAACCGACUGGCUUAGACUCACCACACUAUUGGUCAUGGUGCUGAUACAGUCUUUCACAGCUUGGUAUUCUAUAGGUUUUAAUCUAGAAACUCGGGCCAGUUUAGAAACAAAGGCCGCGGCUAACUUGGCCUCAUUUAGGCUAACUAUAACGGCCGCUUUGGCUAGAUGGUGAUCGCUACCCUUUAUAGAACCAGCGUAACUUGAGAGACAGCGGACACAAAGAGGCGGGUGCAAGGUGGUUUUACAUGAGGCUCGGAUGAAGUCGAUGGGUGCGGUGGUGGUGCACCGGAUGGUGGCUACAAGAACUAGCAAGUAAAACCCAAUUUUUUUCAUAUGUAAAGUUUGUUUUUGCAAGUUUAUGAUUACGAGAGAUGAUCGAAGUAGUGA
rnacentral:lncRNA from 1 species